rnacentral:rRNA from 1 species
GAUGAACGCUGGCGGCGUGCCUAAUACAUGCAAGUCGAGCGAGCGGACGAGAAGCUUGCUUCUCCGAUGUUAGCGGCGGACGGGUGAGUAACACGUGGAUAACCUACCUAUAAGACUGGGAUAACUUCGGGAAACCGUAGCUAAUACCGGAUAAUAUUUUGAACCGCAUGGUUCAAAAGUGAAAGACGGUCUUGCUGUCACUUAUAGAUGGAUCCGCGCUGCAUUAGCUAGUUGGUAAGGUAACGGCUUACCAAGGCAACGAUGCAUAGCCGACCUGAGAGGGUGAUCGGCCACACUGGAACUGAGACACGGUCCAGACUCCUACGGGAGGCAGCAGUAGGGAAUCUUCCGCAAUGGGCGAAAGCCUGACGGAGCAACGCCGCGUGAGUGAUGAAGGUCUUCGGAUCGUAAAACUCUGUUAUUAGGGAAGAACAUAUGUGUAAGUAACUGUGCACAUCUUGACGGUACCUAAUCAGAAAGCCACGGCUAACUACGUG